UACUCAAAUGUUUGCUUGUUUCACAAGAAAUACUUCGUUCGUCCGUGAAGAAGUGAGUAAAAAUACGCAAAGAGCUGAAAGAAGAAGACGGCACGAAGAUGUCACCUCAAUCGGGAAUGUUCCUGUCCGCGCUUUCAGCCGUGGUUAUCCUACUCAUAUCUGCUGCUGAUGUGAAUGCUGUCUUUGCUCUGAACUACGGCUCAGAAAAGGCCAAAGAGUUCUGGGAAAGCCAAGGCCGUAUGGAUGCUGAAUGAAAGUUUAAUUACUAAAUAGAGCUCACACUGAUGCGGUAAACAAAAUAAAAACAUGCUGUCUUUCAACUUUAGACAAUAAAAUUGCGCAAGAUAUUUUUGCUCAUCUCGAUACAAAUAAAUUAUUUUGCUAACAUG